AACUACGUGCCAGCAGCCGCGGUGACACGUAGGCUCCAAGCGUUGUCCGGAUUUAUUGGGCGUAAAGAGCUCGUAGGCGGUUUAGUAAGUCGGGUGUUAAAACUCUGGGCUCAACCCGGAGAGGCCAUCCGAUACUGCUGUGACUUGAGUUCAGGAGGGGAGCGGGGAAUUCCUAGUGUAGCGGUGAAAUGCGCAGAUAUUAGGAGGAACACCGGUGGCGAAGGCGCCGCUCUGGACUGAAACUGACGCUGAGGAGCGAAAGCAUGGGUAGCAAACAGGAUUAGAUACCCUGGUAGUCCAUGCCGUAAACGGUGGGCACUAGGUGUGGGUUCCAACUAACGGGAUCCGCGCCGUCGCUAACGCAUUAAAGUGCCCCCGCCUGGGGGAGUACCGGUCGCAAGACUAAAACUUCAAAGGAAUUGACGGGGGCCCCGCACAAGCCAGCGGAGCGUGUUGCUUAAUUCGAUGCUACGCGAAGAACCUUACCUGGGUUUGACAUGUUUGGAAAAGCCACAGAGAUGUGGUGGUCCGCAAGGGCCAAAC
rnacentral:rRNA from 1 species